AAAAUUAGAGUGUUCAAAGCAGGCAGAUCCAAUUCUCUGCCACCGAAUACAUUAGCAUGGGAUAAUGGAAUAGGACCCUGUCCUCCUAUUUUCAGUUGGUUUUGGCAGCGCGAGGACUAGGGUAAUGAUUAAUAGGGAUAGUUGGGGGCAUUAAUAUUUAAUUGUCAGAGGUGAAAUUCUUGGAUUUAUGAAAGAUUAACUUCUGCGAAAGCAUCUGCCAAGGAUGUUUUCAUUAAUCAAGAACGAAAGUUAGGGGAUCGAAGACGAUCAGAUACCGUCGUAGUCUUAACCAUAAACGAUGCCGACCAGCGAUUAGGAGACGUUGAAUACAAAACACCACCAUCGGUGCGGUCGUUCUUGGCGUCGGUUUCGGCCGGCGCGGGAGCGGCUUAGCCCGGUGGCACCGGUGAA
rnacentral:rRNA from 2 species